rnacentral:lncRNA from 1 species
AUAGGGAAAAAGUAAACAAUGCGGAAAAACACAAAUAAAAUUGAAAAAAAAUGUGAAUUCAAAAAUGUUCACAGACUUUGAAAAAUUUCAUGAAUUUGUAAAAAUAGUUCGUCAAAUUUGAAAGAAAAUUCAUCGAAUUUGCAAAAAGGUCAUCACCAUCUUCACCAACUGAGUCUUUUGUAGGAGUAGAGAUGCGGCUGAGGACACUUGGCGCCAUGCCUUGACUGAAUGUCGGAUGGCCUAGUGUUCAUGGGCGUUGGGAGAUGAAGAAACAUGGAACAUAUGAUCUCUAAUUGUUCGGGCGAUGCCCGGCUAUGUUUGUUCUGUUUGUUUGAACCCAUGAACCAGCAGGAGCUUGCGUGAGUGGUUAUUACCCUAUGGGCCAUCUGGCGGGCUCGAAAGCAGGCAAUUCAGAUGACAAAUUUCAAAGUCCUCUUUCUACAAUGGGUUUCAUCAAUAGUGUAACACCCUCGAUGCGACUAUAUCUCUCACGUGUCGAGGCACGACUUAGAGGCAUAAUCGCAUUGAAGGCAUAUGCCGCAAGUGAGGUAAUCUUCACACAACCCAUGUAAUAUAAUAAGGGAAAGAGAUACAUAGUUGGCUUACAAUCACCACUUCACACAAUUACAUGAAUAAAGCAUUACAUCAACCAAAUACACUCAUGGUCCGACUACGGAACCAAAAUAAAAGAAGAACCCCAAAUGCGACAAAGGUCCCCGAUCGACCCCAACUGGGCUCCACUACUGAUCAACUAGAACGAAACAACACAAAUAAACAAGGUCUUCAACGAGCUCCUCC